GACGAACGCUGGCGGCGUGCUUAACACAUGCAAGUCGAACGGAAAGGCCCUGCUUUUGUGGGGUGCUCGAGUGGCGGACGGGUGAGUAACACGUGGGUAACCUGCCCUUGACUUUGGGAUAACUUCAGGAAACUGGGGCUAAUACCGGAUAGGAGCUCCUGCUGCAUGGUGGGGGUUGGAAAGUUUCGGCGGUUGGGGAUGGACUCGCGGCUUAUCAGCUUGUUGGUGGGGUAGUGGCUUACCAAGGCUUUGACGGGUAGCCGGCCUGAGAGGGUGACCGGCCACAUUGGGACUGAGAUACGGCCCAGACUCCUACGGGAGGCAGCAGUGGGGAAUAUUGCACAAUGGGCGGAAGCCUGAUGCAGCAACGCCGCGUGCGGGAUGACGGCCUUCGGGUUGUAAACCGCUUUCGCCUGUGACGAAGCGUGAGUGACGGUAAUGGGUAAAGAAGCACCGGCUAACUACGUG
rnacentral:rRNA from 1 species